rnacentral:rRNA from 1 species
UACGAAGGGGGCUAGCGUUGCUCGGAAUUACUGGGCGUAAAGGGCGCGUAGGCGGCGCUGCAAGUCAGGCGUGAAAUUCCUGGGCUUAACCUGGGGGCUGCGCUUGAGACUGUGGUGCUAGAGGAUGGAAGAGGCUCGUGGAAUUCCCAGUGUAGAGGUGAAAUUCGUAGAUAUUGGGAAGAACACCGGUGGCGAAGGCGGCGAGCUGGUCCAUUACUGACGCUGAGGCGCGAUAGCGUGGGGAGCAAACAGG